GAUAUAGAAACACACAAUACUUGAACACAUGCUGAUAUCGAUUUUAGCUUGAUGCUAUUACUAUUUUUUGGAUUAAACUAGUUCGGAGAACAGGGUAUAUGUUUUGCCUGUGACAGCUUGGAUUUGACGGUCGACCGAUGAUGUGAUAUGCAUAAUCAUUAAACUAAAAUGCUCUUUAAGGACAUACGUUCUGGUUUUGAAAAAUGGAUAAUGAAACUGGCAAAUUAGGACAUUGUGCUAAUUGUAAUAUUUAUGGUCCAAUGUUACUGUGCUCCAACUGCAAAGGCGUACUGUACUGCUCACGACUUUGCCAGAAAGCAGACUGGAAGAAGCACAAAUGUAUCUGCA